rnacentral:rRNA from 1 species
GAUGAACGCUGGCGGCGUGCCUAAUACAUGCAAGUCGAGCGAAUGGAUUAAGAGCUUGCUCUUAUGAAGUUAGCGGCGGACGGGUGAGUAACACGUGGGUAACCUGCCCAUAAGACUGGGAUAACUCCGGGAAACCGGGGCUAAUACCGGAUAACAUUUUGAACCGCAUGGUUCGAAAUUGAAAGGCGGCUUCGGCUGUCACUUAUGGAUGGACCCGCGUCGCAUUAGCUAGUUGGGGAGGUAACGGCUCACCAAGGCAACGAUGCGUAGCCGACCUGGGAGGGUGAUCGGCCACACUGGGACUGGGAGACGGCCCAGACCCCUACGGGAGGCAGCAGUAGGGAAUCUUCCGCAAUGGACGAAAGUCUGACGGAGCAACGCCGCGUGAGUGAUGAAGGCUUUCGGGUCGUAAAACUCUGUUGUUAGGGAAGAACAAGUGCUAGUUGAAUAAGCUGGCACCUUGACGGUACCUAACCAGAAAGCCACGGCUAACUACGUGCCAGCCGCCGCGGUAA